AGCUUGGCCUUGAAUGCUUCCAGGGAGGGGCAUCCACAGUCCCUCCGGGCGACCUGUUCCAGUGUCUCACCACACUCACAGUAAAGAUUUUCUUCCUGAUGUCACAUGCUAAAAUGUCCUCAGAUUAAACAUCUAUCAAAAUCGCUCUUUUGAUUUUUAAGGAACAUAUGUGGUAGGUGCAUCAGGAGGAGACACUGUCAGACACAAUCUUUCUGAAGGAGUAGUUUCUGAAAAGAGGUUGAUGGAUGUACAUCAAAUUGCUGAUCUGCAAAGGCACUGCAAACCUAUGUUGAACCAUAUCCAGGAUGACAAGAUACUCUCAGCCUUUAAAUCUUGUGGUCUUGCUUGGAGAAAGUCACUGAGAUUAACACCUGCACUAUGUGAUUUAUCUCAGUCUGGAGUGACUGUGAUCCUUAAUACUUCCUUUACCAAAGGUUCAACUGGGCAUCUAUCCAGCUAAUUAAUUUCCUUUUACACAGCUGAAGCUUGAAGAAAUCAGCUCCAGCCACAGGAAAAAAUGCUGUGUAUAAGAAAUCCAACCUUCUAAUAUUAGGACCUAUAAAACUAAGUCAUAAGUAAUUGAGAUGCCACUGCGAAGAUCUCAUUGCUAAACUCUGGUGAACAGUAGCAAACAGUACACUUAAGCAUUGGGACAAUAUAUGGUGUUGUUAUAUAGCCAGUGCUGAGCUAAGGGUGAAAUGAUAUUGUAAAUACAGAGGAAAAACAGACGAGACAAUAACAAAGCAAGUAUGAAAACAGAGAACAUCUUGUGCUCUUCUGGAAUUUUUCAGUGACUGCUCUUUCAUCUAUUUCUUCUGUUACAUACAAAAAUGAUAUGGAUGAGGAGCGGCAGCAGCAAAGAGAUUCUAGCUCAAUCUGUACCUUGCAUUCAGCUUUGUGAAAAACAAACUCUGGCAUAAUUUAACAGAAAAUUGGACACAACAGUCCACAAAGACUGAUCGGCAUCAUGGUUCUUAUGUACAGCUGAGGCUCUACCUUUUUCCAGUAAAUGAAUAUCUGUAUUUGGUGAAAAAAGGAUGCAGGUCCUGAUAUUUGGGUCAAUGCAGGUGUUGGUUGGACUGUAGAUUUCUGUAAUUUUUAAUAAUAUAUGAUGAUCCAGUUAUGAGUUUGUUGUAGGGAAAGUCCUGCUUUUGUUCAUUUUUCUAAGUGUGAAGCUAGGAAUGAGAUUAUUUGGACAAUCGUUGUGUCUCAGUUUUGACUGCUGCUAGAAAAAUCAUUUUUACUCAUAAAAGACAAAGGUAAGAUGAAGUGUUGACUUCAGGGAUUCUGUUUGACCUCACAUUUUUUAGUUGCAAAGGUCAUCUGACUCUUGGGUUUACAGCUGUCGACAUCAUACAGCCUUUGAUUUGCCUACAAAGGUCAUCCUCAACUAGACUACAGCAAGAGGCAACUCUGUUGUUUCUCGCUUUCUUGCGGACACAUGUGUGGUGUCAAUCAUGCUAGCAGAGUCUGCAUUGAAAAGUUUCUGGCAGUGGCUGUCCUCCUCUCUGCACUGGGCUGAACACUGCUCUCAUGCCAUAAAUAGCUCUAAGACUUACAUUCAAGUAGAGCUGCUUAUUUCCACUGACUAGUGUUAAUGAAGUUACUCAUAAAAAAAUAAACUUUACCUCUAGCUAGACUGAGGGCUGUAAAUGCCUAGCAGAGUUACUACCAUAAGUGAAAGCUUGCAAGUUAGUUCAUUGCAAGUUGUGAGGUACUGGCUUCUCCCAGGGAAGCAGUGAAGUAAAAAUUUCCUAAGAAGUUUGUAGAUACAUCCAAGAGACGAUGCCUUGGUGUGUUUAUGCCACUGGUGGUAAUGUGCUAUCUGUCUCAGUAAGGCUGAUAUCUAAUCAAAUUACCAUAGGAGAUCCUACAUUAAACAGCACAGUUCUCAGGAGUGUAUCAGAAAUAUUGAACACGUUGCUCACUUUCACUCUGUACAUUAUGUUUUACCUAGAAAAGCUGAUGCAUUUUUUUGUGCAGAAAGAUCAUCUUGGCAUAGCAG
ensembl:lncRNA